UUAAGUUAUUAAGGGCGCACGGUGGAUGCCUUGGCACUAGAAGCCGAUGAAGGACGUUACUAACGACGAUAUGCUUUGGGGAGCUGUAAGUAAGCUUUGAUCCAGAGAUUUCCGAAUGGGGAAACCCAGCAUGAGUUAUGUCAUGUUAUCGAUAUGUGAAUACAUAGCAUAUCAGAAGGCACACCCGGAGAACUGAAACAUCUUAGUACCCGGAGGAAGAGAAAGAAAAUUCGAUUCCCUUAGUAGCGGCGAGCGAAACGGGAAGAGCCCAAACCAACAAGCUUGCUUGUUGGGGUUGUAGGACACUCUAUACGGAGUUACAAAGGACGACAUUAGACGAAUCAUCUGGAAAGAUGAAUCAAAGAAGGUAAUAAUCCUGUAGUCGAAAAUGUUGUCUCUCUUGAGUGGAUCCUGAGUAUGACGGAGCACGUGAAAUUCCGUCGGAAUCUGGGAGGACCAUCUCCUAAGGCUAAAUACUCUCUAGUGACCGAUAGUGAACCAGUACCGUGAGGGAAAGGUGAAAAGCACCCCGGAAGGGGAGUGAAAUAGAACCUGAAACCGUGUGCUUACAAGUAGUCAGAGCCCGUUAAUGGGUGAUGGCGUGCCUUUUGUAGAAUGAACCGGCGAGUUACGAUUUGAUGCAAGGUUAAGCAGUAAAUGUGGAGCCGUAGCGAAAGCGAGUCUGAAUAGGGCGUUUAGUAUUUGGUCGUAGACCCGAAACCAGGUGAUCUACCCUUGGUCAGGUUGAAGUUCAGGUAACACUGAAUGGAGGACCGAACCGACUUACGUUGAAAAGUGAGCGGAUGAACUGAGGGUAGCGGAGAAAUUCCAAUCGAACCUGGAGAUAGCUGGUUCUCUCCGAAAUAGCUUUAGGGCUAGCCUCAAGUGAUGAUUAUUGGAGGUAGAGCACUGUUUGGACGAGGGGCCCCUCUCGGGUUACCGAAUUCAGACAAACUCCGAAUGCCAAUUAAUUUAACUUGGGAGUCAGAACAUGGGUGAUAAGGUCCGUGUUCGAAAGGGAAACAGCCCAGACCACCAGCUAAGGUCCCAAAAUAUAUGUUAAGUGGAAAAGGAUGUGGCGUUGCCCAGACAACUAGGAUGUUGGCUUAGAAGCAGCCAUCAUUUAAAGAGUGCGUAAUAGCUCACUAGUCGAGUGACACUGCGCCGAAAAUGUACCGGGGCUAAACAUAUUACCGAAGCUGUGGAUUGUCCUUUGGACAAUGGUAGGAGAGCGUUCUAAGGGCGUUGAAGCAUGAUCGUAAGGACAUGUGGAGCGCUUAGAAGUGAGAAUGCCGGUGUGAGUAGCGAAAGACGGGUGAAAAUCCCGUCCACCGAUUGACUAAGGUUUCCAGAGGAAGGCUCGUCCGCUCUGGGUUAGUCGGGUCCUAAGCUGAGGCCGACAGGCGUAGGCGAUGGAUAACAGGUUGAUAUUCCUGUACCACCUAUAAUCGUUUUAAUCGAUGGGGGGACGCAGUAGGAUAGGCGAAGCGUGCGAUUGGAUUGCACGUCUAAGCAGUAAGGCUGAGUAUUAGGCAAAUCCGGUACUCGUUAAGGCUGAGCUGUGAUGGGGAGAAGACAUUGUGUCUUCGAGUCGUUGAUUUCACACUGCCGAGAAAAGCCUCUAGAUAGAAAAUAGGUGCCCGUACCGCAAACCGACACAGGUAGUCAAGAUGAGAAUUCUAAGGUGAGCGAGCGAACUCUCGUUAAGGAACUCGGCAAAAUGACCCCGUAACUUCGGGAGAAGGGGUGCUCUUUAGGGUUAACGCCCAGAAGAGCCGCAGUGAAUAGGCCCAAGCGACUGUUUAUCAAAAACACAGGUCUCUGCUAAACCGUAAGGUGAUGUAUAGGGGCUGACGCCUGCCCGGUGCUGGAAGGUUAAGAGGAGUGGUUAGCUUCUGCGAAGCUACGAAUCGAAGCCCCAGUAAACGGCGGCCGUAACUAUAACGGUCCUAAGGUAGCGAAAUUCCUUGUCGGGUAAGUUCCGACCCGCACGAAAGGCGUAACGAUUUGGGCACUGUCUCAACGAGAGACUCGGUGAAAUCAUAGUACCUGUGAAGAUGCAGGUUACCCGCGACAGGACGGAAAGACCCCGUGGAGCUUUACUGUAGCCUGAUAUUGAAAUUCGGCACAGCUUGUACAGGAUAGGUAGGAGCCUUUGAAACGUGAGCGCUAGCUUACGUGGAGGCGCUGGUGGGAUACUACCCUAGCUGUGUUGGCUUUCUAACCCGCACCACUUAUCGUGGUGGGAGACAGUGUCAGGCGGGCAGUUUGACUGGGGCGGUCGCCUCCUAAAAGGUAACGGAGGCGCUCAAAGGUUCCCUCAGAAUGGUUGGAAAUCAUUCAUAGAGUGUAAAGGCAUAAGGGAGCUUGACUGCGAGACCUACAAGUCGAGCAGGGUCGAAAGACGGACUUAGUGAUCCGGUGGUUCCGCAUGGAAGGGCCAUCGCUCAACGGAUAAAAGCUACCCCGGGGAUAACAGGCUUAUCUCCCCCAAGAGUUCACAUCGACGGGGAGGUUUGGCACCUCGAUGUCGGCUCAUCGCAUCCUGGGGCUGUAGUCGGUCCCAAGGGUUGGGCUGUUCGCCCAUUAAAGCGGUACGCGAGCUGGGUUCAGAACGUCGUGAGACAGUUCGGUCCCUAUCCGUCGUGGGCGUAGGAAAUUUGAGAGGAGCUGUCCUUAGUACGAGAGGACCGGGAUGGACAUACCUCUGGUGUACCAGUUGUCGUGCCAACGGCAUAGCUGGGUAGCUAUGUGUGGACGGGAUAAGUGCUGAAAGCAUCUAAGCAUGAAGCCCCCCUCAAGAUGAGAUUUCCCAACUUCGGUUAUAAGAUCCCUCAAAGAUGAUGAGGUUAAUAGGUUCGAGGUGGAAGCAUGGUGACAUGUGGAGCUGACGAAUACUAAUCGAUCGAAGACUUAAUCAA
rnacentral:rRNA from 1 species